AUUUUCCUUUAAGAACGAGACAGGGAGCUGAGUGGGUGACAAGUCAUUUUCUAAUGCUCACGGGCUGGGGCCAGAGCUCGCAGUGGAUGGGAGGAGGGAGAGGACCAAAUUAGCUCAGAUUCUGUAUAAUUCACAGAAUAGCCUGAUUUUAUUUGUUUGUUUUUAGAUACAAGAGCCAAAAAAAAAAAGGGGGGGGGGGGGCAAAAAUGUUGACAAAAAUUUUAGUCCAUAGUUCUGGAGUGGACGGAGGUAAGAAUUUCCCACCCGGAUCUCUUGUUUUUCUCAGGACCGUCUAUAAGACUAGAUCCUCCAGAAAAGGUGGUGAAGGCGUUUUGCAGAGUUUCCAAAGCCUCCUCUUCCUCCUCAGGAAAGAUGGAAGCUUUGGGGGAGAGGACAGGAGUACCAGAGACUCCUAGCCAGCAGGAGCUCAGGAGACUACCUGUCCCCCAGGUGGGGAGACAGAACCAGAGGAUCUCCAAGGUACCUUCCAGCGACAAAUUCCAGGAUUUCCUGGUCCUGCCCUCAAGAGUUUAUGGUUGGAGACGUCAUUGGCUCUGUACUCAGAGGGCAUGUCCCCCACCAGAACACAGACUGACCUCCAUUCUCACCCGCUCCUCCAGGUCUCUUUCCCUUCCUGCCUGACCCCAUCAGUGCAAGCAAAUUCCUCAUUCUCACCAUUGUGAAGAUUUGAAGGGGACAAAACCUUGGGAGAUUUUAAAGGACUGGAAGGUGGCACCGCCAAAAGCAGGUAUUGACCUCAAUUCCCCUCCUAGUCUGGCAUUAGCAGUGUGACCUAAAGGCACGCUGAUAUCCCUCUCUGGGUGGCUGGUUCCUCACCUAUAAAAUAAAAGACGUGUGUGUAAAGGGAAAGGGGGUGAU
rnacentral:lncRNA from 1 species